UACGGGUUGGUAAAGUUCUGUUUGUAGCGAAGAACAAGUCCCCGAGUAACAGCUGGUACCCUGACGGUACCUAACCAGAAAGCCACGGCUAAAUUACCUGCCAGCAGGCGCGGUAAUAUGUAGGGGGCAAGUGUUGUCCGGAAUUAUUUGGCGUAAAGCGCGCGCAGGUGGUUUAUUAAGUCUGAUGUGAAAGCGCACGGCUCAACCGUGGAGGGUCAUUGGAAACUGGGGAACUUGAGUGCAGAAGAGGAAAGUGGAAUUCCAAGUGUAGCGGUGAAAUGCGUAGAGAUAUGGAGGAACACCAGUGGCGAAGGCGACUCUCUGGUCUGUAACUGACACUGAGGCGCGAAAGCGUGGGGAGCGAACAGGAUUAGAUACCCUGGUAGUCCACGCCGUAAACGAUGAGUGCUAAGUGUUAGAGGGUUUCCGCCCUUUAGUGCUGCAGCUAACGCAUUAAGCACUCCGCCUGGGGAGUACGGUCGCAAGACUGAAACUCAAAGGAAUUGACGGGGGCCCGCACAAGCGGUGGAGCAUGUGGUUUAAUUCGAAGCAACGCGAAGAACCUUACCAGGUCUUGACAUCCCACUGCCCGGUAUAGAGAUAUACCUUUCCCUUCGGGGACAGUGGUGACAGGUGGUGCAUGGUUGUCGUCAGCUCGUGUCGUGAGAUGUUGGGUUAAGUCCCGCAACGAGCGCAACCCUUGAUCUUAGUUGCCAGCAUUUAGUUGGGCACUCUAAGGUGACUGCCGGUGACAAACCGGAGGAAGGUGGGGAUGACGUCAAAUCAUCAUGCCCCUUAUGACCUGGGCUACACACGUGCUACAAUGGAUGGUACAAAGGGCUGCGAGACUGCGAAGUCAAGCGAAUCCCAUAAAACCAUUCUCAGUUCGGAUUGCAGGCUGCAACUCGCCUGCAUGAAGCUGGAAUCGCUAGUAAUCGUGGAUCAGCAUGCCACGGUGAAUACGUUCCCGGGCCUUGUACACACCGCCCGUCACACCACGAGAGUUUGUAACACCCGAAGCCGGUGGGGGUAACCGUAAGGGAGCCAGCCGUCUUAG
rnacentral:rRNA from 1 species